rnacentral:rRNA from 1 species
UACGAAGGGUGCAAGCGUUGCUCGGAAUUAUUGGGCGUAAAGGGUAGGUAGGUGGUAAUACAAGUCUGGGGUGAAAUCCCUGAGCUCAACUCAGGACGUGCCUUGGAAACUGUAUUACUAGAGUGCUGGAGAGGUCCGCAGAAUUCCCGGUGUAGCGGUGAAAUGCGUAGAUAUCAGGAGGAACACCGAUGGCGAAGGCAGGUCUCUGGGCAUUAACUGACGCUGAGGAGCGAAAGCAUGGGGAGCGAACAGG